rnacentral:rRNA from 1 species
CACUCCUACGGGAGGCAGCAGUGGGGAAUUUUGGACAAUGGGCGAAAGCCUGAUCCAGCCAUGCCGCGUGCAGGAUGAAGGCCUUCGGGUUGUAAACUGCUUUUGUACGGAACGAAACGGCCUUUUCUAAUAAAGAGGGCUAAUGACGGUACCGUAAGAAUAAGCACCGGCUAACUACGUGCCAGCAGCCGCGGUAAUACGUAGGGUGCAAGCGUUAAUCGGAAUUACUGGGCGUAAAGCGUGCGCAGGCGGUUAUGUAAGACAGUUGUGAAAUCCCCGGGCUCAACCUGGGAACUGCAUCUGUGACUGCAUAGCUAGAGUACGGUAGAGGGGGAUGGAAUUCCGCGUGUAGCAGUGAAAUGCGUAGAUAUGCGGAGGAACACCGAUGGCGAAGGCAAUCCCCUGGACCUGUACUGACGCUCAUGCACGAAAGCGUGGGGAGCAAACAGGAUUAGAAACCCUUGUAGUCCC